UACGUAGGGUGCAAGCGUUAAUCGGAAUUACUGGGCGUAAAGCGUGCGCAGGCGGUUGUGCAAGACCGAUGUGAAAUCCCCGGGCUUAACCUGGGAAUGGCAUUGGUGACUGCACGGCUAGAGUGUGUCAGGAGGGGGGUAGAAUUCCACGUGUAGCAGUGAAAUGCGUAGAGAUGUGGAGGAAUACCGAUGGCGAAGGCA
rnacentral:rRNA from 1 species